GGGGAUGUAGCUCAGAUGGUAGAACGCUUGCUUAGCAUGUGAGAGGUCUCAGGAUCGAUAUCCCAUUUUUCCA